UACGUAGGGGGCGAGCGUUAUCCGGAAUUAUUGGGCGUAAAGGGCACGCAGGCGGUCCUGCACGUGGAUGGUGACAGCUCCUGGCUUAACUGGGAGAGUGCCUUCCAAACGACAAGACUUGAGAGCGAGAGAGGGAUACGGAACUCCAGGUGGAGCAGUGAAAUGCGUAGAGAUCUGGAAGAACACCAAAGGCGAAGGCAGUAUCCUGGCUCGUCUCUGACGCUCAGGUGCGAAAGCUAGGGGAGCAAACGGG
rnacentral:rRNA from 1 species